GGUUGAUCCUGCCAGUAGUCAUAUGCUUGUCCCAAAGAUUAAGCCAUGCAUGUCUAAGUAUAAACAAGUCUAUACUGUGAAACUGCGAAUGGCUCAUUAUAUCAGUUAUAAUUUAUUUGAUAGUCUCUUUACUACUUGGAUAACCGUGGUAAUUCUAGAGCUAAUACAUGCAUAAAGCCCGACUUCUGGAAGGGCUGUAUUUAUUAGAUUAAAAACCAAUGCGGGCAACCGCUCAAGGUGAUUCAUAAUAACUUUGCGGAUCGCAUGGCCUUGCGCCGGCGACGUUUCAUUC
rnacentral:rRNA from 1 species